rnacentral:rRNA from 1 species
UACAGAGGGUGCGAGCGUUGUUCGGAAUCAUUGGGCGUAAAGCGCUUGUAGGCGGCCUGUCAAGUCGCGUGUGAAAUCCCUUGGCUUAACCAAGGAAGUGCGCGCGAAACUGGCGGGCUUGAGUGCCGGAGAGGGUCGCGGAAUUCACGGUGUAGCAGUGAAAUGCGUAGAGAUCGUGAGGAAGACCAGUGGCGAAGGCGGGUCUCUGGACAGUUCCUGACACUGAGGCACGAAGGCCAGGGGAGCAAACGGG